GUUAUCGUUUAUUUGAUAGUACCUUACUACUUGGAUAACCGUGGUAAUUCUAGAGCUAAUACAUGCUAAAAACCCCGACUUCGGAAGGGGUGUAUUUAUUAGAUAAAAAGCCAACGCCCUUCGGGGCUCCGUGGUGAUUCAUGAUAACUUCACGAACCGCAUGGCCUUGCGCCGGCGGUGGUUCAUUCAAAUUUCUGCCCUAUCAACUUUCGAUUGUUGGGUAUUGGCCAACAAUGGUUACGACGGGUAACGGGGAAUUAGGGUUCGAUUCCGGAGAGGGAGCCUGAGAAACGGCUACCACAUCCAAGGAAGGCAGCAGGCGCGCAAAUUACCCAAUCCCGACGCGGGGAGGUAGUGACAAUAAAUACUGAUACAGGGCUCUUUUGGGUCUUGUAAUUGGAAUGAGUACAAUUUAAAUACCUUAACGAGGAACAAUUGGAGGGCAAGUCUGGUGCCAGCAGCCGCGGUAAUUCCAGCUCCAAUAGCGUAUAUUAAAGUUGUUGCAGUUAAAAAGCUCGUAGUUGAACCUUGGCCCUGGCUAGCCGGUCCGCCUCACCGCGUGUACUGGUCCGGCCGGGGCUUUCCUCCUGGGGAUCCGCAUGGCCUUCACUGGUUGUGUUGGGGAACCAGGACUUUUACUUUGAAAAAAUUAGAGUGUUCAAAGCAGGCAUCCGCUCGAAUACAUUAGCAUGGAAUAAUGGAAUAGG
rnacentral:rRNA from 1 species